AGCUGUGCGGUCUAGACAUAAUCCCCAGCAUCGACUACAGUUCGCCGGGCUCAUAACCCGGAGGUCAGAGGUUCGAAUCCUCUCCCCGCUA
rnacentral:tRNA from 2 species